rnacentral:rRNA from 1 species
CCCGCACAAGCGGUGGAUGAUGUGGAUUAAUUCGAUGCAACGCGAAAAACCCUACCUACCCUUGACAUGGAUGGAAUCCUGAAGAGAUUUGGGAGUGCUCGAAAGAGAACCAUCACACAGGUGCUGCAUGGCUGUCGUCAGCUCGUGUCGUGAGAUGUUGGGUUAAGUCCCGCAACGAGCGCAACCCUUGUCAUUAGUUGCUACGAAAGGGCACUCUAAUGAGACUGCCGGUGACAAACCGGAGGAAGGUGGGGAUGACGUCAAGUCCUCAUGGCCCUUAUGGGUAGGGCUUCACACGUCAUACAAUGGUACAUACAGAGGGCCGCCAACCCGCGAGGGGGAGCUAAUCCCAGAAAGUGUAUCGUAGUCCGGAUUGGAGUCUGCAACUCGACUCCAUGAAGUUGGAACCGCUAGUAAUCGCGGAUCAGCAUGUCGCGGUGAAUACGUUCCCGGGUCUUGCACACACCGCCCGUCACACCAUGGGAGCGGGUUUUACCAGAAGUGGGUAGCCUAACCGCAAGGAGGGCGCUCACCACGGUAGGAUUCGUGACUGGGGUG